rnacentral:rRNA from 1 species
GUAGGGAAUAUUGGGCAAUGGUCGGAAGACUGACCCAGCCAUGCCGCGUGCAGGAAGACGGCCCUCUGGGUUGUAAACUGCUUUUAUCUGGGAAGAAAAAGGCCAUGCGUGGCAAAUUGCCGGUACCAGAUGAAUAAGCACCGGCUAACUCCGUGCCAGCAGCCGCGGUAAUACGGAGGGUGCGAGCGUUGUCCGGAUUUAUUGGGUUUAAAGGGUGCGUAGGCGGCUGAUUAAGUCAGCGGUGAAAGACUUCGGCUUAACCGGAGCAGUGCCGUUGAUAGUGGUUGGCUUGAGUGUCGGAGGGGUACAUGGAAUUGAUGGUGUAGCGGUGAAAUGCAUAGAUACCAUCAGGAACACCGAUAGCGAAGGCAUUGUACUGGCCGACAACUGACGCUGAUGCACGAAAGUGUGGGGAUCGAACAGGAUUAGAAACCCCGGUAGUCC